CUAACAACUCCAAUGAACCCACUGAACUUUACUCUUUGUUCAUCCGAGUUCUCUCUCCUAAAAUCUUCAAUCACAUUAACUCUCUCUGAAAAAAGCCAAAAUCCUUCACCCCUCUAACAACCGAAUCCCUUGUUUCUUUCCCUUUCUUCUAUCCGAUUUUUAAUUCUCCCCAAUUUGAAGACAAAAAUGUAAUAUUUGAGAUCUGUCAGCCCGAAGUGCAACGGUGGAGGACGGUGUUCAUUGGAAAUCGCCAACAACUCUCAGGACUUGUUCUUCUACUUACAACAACAUCUGAAGGAAGAUUACUACCAGUUUCAAGUUUGUAGCGGCCAUCAUCUUCGAUUCCAUCUAGCGAGCACUGAUCGUUGAUUCCCUUUCCACUUGGAGCAAAUUGGAGUUGUUGGUUGGGGAUAAAGUUACAGUAAGAAGCAUGGUUGAUUCGAGCAAAAUUUGUGCUGUUGGAGUGGUUAGAAAUUUGGAUCCAACUUCUGAAGUUGGUGACACACCUUUGGGAUCACAUUGGUGUGAAAUCCAUGUGAAUGUGCCUGUGGAGAAUGAUGAAGAGCUAAUGAGGCCAUACCAUAAUUUUCGCAAGAUUGGAGAUGCAAUUGGAGUAGCUAUUGCUUGGCCAAUAAACCUGGUGAUUCUUGAAGAAAACUAAAGGAUCCUUGGGUCAAAUGGCUAUAUUUUGAAGACAUUGUCAAUGCGUUUUUUGUUGAGUUCUUGUUGAACUAUUGCUUCUUUGAUAUGUAUUGGCAAUACUACUGCAAUACUCAUAACUUUUGAAAAAUCUCUGAAUUGGCAUGUAAUUUGUUGACAUAGUAGCCAUGUAAGUUACUUGGAUGAUGUACUUUUGCACCAGUUUGGCUGCUUGUAUUGCACUAAUUACUAUGAAAAUGUAAAUCACCUUGAUUUUCCUU